CCUUUCUACUGUGUGCAAUUAGUGUUAGUUUCAUUCUCAUUGCACACAAUAGUGGGGCU
rnacentral:pre_miRNA from 1 species